CGUCCAAUCGGAAUGUGGGUUUAUUUGCAUAAAACAUCCGUAGCUAAAUGAGAUAGGGCUAUCCGCAAAUUUCGACACUAUGGCGUGUGUGUAAUUACAGGCAUGCUAAAACCUUUUCUGUAUUGUUCCACACUUUCCAUAUAUUACAUAGAUAAUUCACCGACAGGAUUUGAAAGAUGAGGAAAGAAACCUCGCUCUGACAAUAUACAAAAGGACCCUCCCUGGUGUACUGUUUUUGCAAUGCUUGAGGACAUUUAAAGCAGUGAAAAAAAUGAAAGGAGGAUGUUUCCCAGCACAGGAAAUCUCCAUGAUCAUACCUAUAACCCCUGUCCUCCCUCUGCUCCAGCCACGUUGAUCCGUCUCACUGCAUCUCCCUCUGUUGACAGUCCCC